AGUAACGCGUGAGGAGCCUGCCUCAAAGAGGGGGACAACAGUUGGAAACGGCUGCUAAUACCGCAUAAGCCCACGGCUCGGCAUCGAGCAGAGGGAAAAGGAGCAAUCCGCUUUGAGAUGGCCUCGCGUCCGAUUAGCUAGUUGGUGAGGUAAUGGCCCACCAAGGCAACGAUCGGUAGCCGGACUGAGAGGUUGAACGGCCACAUUGGGACUGAGACACGGCCCAG
rnacentral:rRNA from 1 species